rnacentral:piRNA from 1 species
UAAAACCAGAUACCGUGAAUCUAAUA